AAUAAGGAAGAGUCAUAUUCUUCAGUAGAGAUGGAUGUUUUAUCACAAAAGCUUUCCAUUCAUCUUUACUGAUUUUACCAUCCUUAUCAGCAUCCACUUCAACAAAUGUCUUUUCUAUGAUAUCGUCAAGAAGUUCUUCCGGCAAAUUAACAUCAGAUUCCAUCAGAAUGGCAAUCACCAUUUGCCUAACUUCUUCUUGCUCAAUAAAUCCAGUUUGUCUCAAAUCAUACAGCCUAAAUGCAAAAUCUAUUUUUUCUUCCAAAGGGGCACAGGGAUGGAAAACACUGAGGGCAUGGACAAAUUCGUCAAACUCAAUCACACCAUUUUUCUUUUCAUCAAAAAGAUCAAAAACCUUUAAAGAGAAGAAAAAACAACAAAGUAAUUAGAAGCAAUAAUAGGAAAAAGCAGUGAUCUAAUGUUCGGAAUCCCACCACAUGGUUUGCUACAAAAACAACUAAGCCUUAGUCCCCAACUAGUUGGGAUUAGCUAUAUGGAUUCUUUUUUGCCAUUCAGCUCUGUUAGAUAUCAGACCCACAUUAAUAUCUAAAAUAUGUAAAUCCUUUGAUACUACUUCCCUCCACAAUAUCUUAGGCCUUCCCCUUCCCCUUCUUACACCUUCGGUCCUUUCCCUACUAACCUAUCACACUUUUGUACUGGGGCAUUUGUAUAUUUUUUAUGUGCAGCUGAAAAAAAUAUUUAUUAUUUUUUCUAAGUUCAAGGAUGAUACCCAGCCAUGUAACCAAGCUGUACUGCAUUGUAUCUGACAGGAAAGAAACAGGUUGUAUUCCACUAUGCAAUACCACACCAACUUAGAGUCACUCAUAAGGAAAAGAAAAAAAGUAUACGGCAACAGAUUUUUCAACACACAUGGUGAAAAAUAUAACAUAGACACUCUGGCAUAAACCGCAAGUUUGCAGCCUCCCCCCAUAUAAGAAGAUAAAGCCCUAUAUAUAGGAUUUUAUAUUGUUGAGCUUCCUGUUUCACACAAGGCAACCGGAUGUUAUUUGUUCUCCCCAAAAACUUGCUCCAAUUAGUAUAAUUUUUGAAAAACUUUUUCAUCAAUUCAUCCACAGCAACAUCUCCUAACUUUGAGAUAGAUGUCUGUUUAUGAGAUUGCCUUAUAUGGGUGUUAGCAAGGAGUAAAAUUAGAUGCUCCCUCUGGUUGGCUACAUUUCCUUCCUGAAACCCGAAGCAACAUUGAAGAAAGUCAAACAAAUCAAUGAAAGGCCCACAUUUAUGAAAAUCUUGAGCCGAAGGUAAACCACGGAUGUUUCGUACAGCUGCAACUGCAGCUUUAAUCUCUGGGAGUUGCAUAAUUGCUUGCUGAAUACCUCCAUGAUCUAGAGGAAGAAUGUUAUAUGGUACAUAGAGCUCAGCAGCAAGAGCCUGAUGACCAGCUGCAUCUGCAAAUGUCUUCAAUACUUCAUACAACACAGAUGUGAUUCUUGUUGCGUUUGUCACUGUCUUUCUAUGACUGUCAUUAAAAUCGAAUCCUCCACCGCUUUUAAUAAUAUAUUGCUUGUAUGCCUGAUAAACACGUCUAAGUUCACGUAUAUCAGUCUUCUCCUUUCUUUUCCCAUAAGUUGUUUUGUCAUCAUGUUCAAGUCGCCGAAGAAGAGAAGUUUUAAAUUGUCGAACCCCCCGUCCACUUGAAUUGCGGUCCAUGUUAUGUGCUAUUUCAAAAGCUUGAAAUCGGCACAUAUAAGCCACGCGAGGCUCCUGGGUUUGGAUGGAAUUGGCAACACGAAGAAACAUCUGGAUUUCCCGAGCCAAAGUGGGAGGCAACCUCUCACUAUCAAAAGGUUCAGGAGGGUCAUCAUGAUCAACAUCAUAACCAGAUGUGAGAGACGAAGAGGUUGCAAUGGCAUGGGUUGUUGGCUCAGUGGUGGAAUUGUGGUCAAUGAUAGGGUCUGCAGGAACAAUCUCUGACGACAUGUGUGUGGAGCAGUGGGUGAUCUUGAUGGAAAAUAUGAGAUAAUGGGUGAUACUGCAGAAUAUAUAUGUGGGAUCUUCUGCUUCUGCUUCUGCAUUUUCAUUGCUUAGUGAGAAAGAGUGUGCUUUUUUGGUUUGAUUUAGAGCUUUUCGCUAUUACUUUUGCUUUUGCUUUUUGGAAAUGGGUUUCUGGGUUUCUCUUUGUUUAUUGCUUCCUCAGGUCUCUGUGAGAGCACGGCGACAAGAAGGGAAGUGGGAAGCCAACCUUUAUUGAACUCUUGGCGGGUUUUUUUUUCUUUU
rnacentral:misc_RNA from 1 species